rnacentral:tRNA from 1 species
AGUUCUGUAGUGUAGUGGUUAUCACGUUCGCCUCACACGCGAAAGGUCCCCGGUUCGAGCCCGGGCAGAACUA